GGGGGUGGUCAGGUGGCCGCCAGUGCGCCGAGAUUCAUCUCGGUCCGGCGCUGGAGGAAAGUCCGGGCUCCAUACGGCAGGGUGCCGGCUAACGGCCGGCGAGGGAGACCUCAGGGAAAGUGCCACAGAGAGUAGACCGCGUCCCUGACUGCCUUUGGCAGUUCGCGACGUAAGGGUGAAAGCGUGCGGUAAGAGCGCACGGGAGCCGACGGAGACGUCGGUCUUCGGUAAACCCCACCUGGAGCAAGGUCAUAUCGGGAGUGCAACACCGUAAGGUGCGGAGAGUCGCCGGCUCGAGCUCUCGGGUAGACCGCUACAGGCACAGAGCAAUCUGUGUCGUAGACGAAUGGUCAUCACUGAUUGUGGAGUGAUCCACUUUCGGAACAGAACCCGGCUUACGACCACUCCUCGGC
rnacentral:RNase_P_RNA from 1 species